rnacentral:lncRNA from 1 species
UAACAAAACCCCACUUUGUAGUGAGGUUGAGGGAAAAAACAAUGAGGUCUCUAAUGGCCUCCGCAACAGUCACUCUUGUGUUAGCAAUACUGUCUCUAAGCUUGCCAUCUCAAAUCUCAGCUGAUACCUACUUGUACUCAUCACCUCCUCCUCCCAAGAAGCCCUAUUAUUAUCACUCUCCUCCACCACCUUCACCUCCUCCACCUAAGCCAUACUACUAUCAUUCACCACCACCACCUUCACCUCCUCCACCCAAGCCAUACUACUAUCACUCACCACCACCACCUUCACCUCCUCCACCUAAACCAUACUACUAUCACUCACCACCACCACCUUCACCUCCUCCACCUAAACCAUACUACUAUCACUCACCACCACCACCUUCACCUCCUCCACCUAAACCAUACUACUAUCACUCACCACCACCACCUUCACCUCCUCCACCUAAGUCAUAUUACUAUCACUCACCACCACCACCACCCAAAAAGAAGCCAUACUACUACCAUUCUCCCCCACCACCUUCACCACCUCCUCCUAAGCCAUACUACUAUCACUCUCCCCCACCGCCUUCACCUCCUCCACCUACGCCAUACUACUAUCAUUCUCCCCCACCACCCUCACCACCUCCACCUAAGCCAUACUACUACCAUUCACCACCACCCCCACCGAAGAAGAAGCCUUACUACUACCACUCUCCACCACCACCUUCACCUCCUCCUCCAAAGAAGCCAUACUACUACCACUCCCCACCUCCUCCCAAGAAGCCCUACAAAUAUUCAUCUCCCCCACCUCCAGUGCACCCUUACCCUCAUCCUCACCCCCAUCCCCAUCCACACCCCCACCCUCACCCUCCCUACGUUUACAAAUCUCCUCCCCCACCCCCUAAGAAGCCAUACAAGUACCCAUCCCCACCACCUCCAGUCCACGUUUACCCUCACCCUCACCCGCAUCCACACCCUCACCCUCAACCUCACCCCCAUCCACAACCCCACCCUCCCUACAUUUAUCAGUCUCCUCCACCACCCCCUAAGAAGCCUUACAAGUACCCAUCGCCUCCACCUCCCGUCCACCCAUACCCCCAUCCCCACCCUCUUCCUCAUCCCCACCCUCACCCUCUUCCACAUCCCCACCCUCUUCCCCAUCCUCACCCUCUUCCUCAUCCCCACCCUCUUCCCCAUCCUCACCCCCUCCCUCCUUACACUCCUCAUCCAAUCUAUCACUCUCCAUCACCACCACCACCUUACAAGAAGCCUUACAAGUACAAGUCCCCUCCACCACCUCCACACUACAUCUACGCAUCACCUCCACCUCCUUACCACUCUUAGACAGUGGUCAACUAGCAUAGUUCUAUGGUAACCUUCUUCAUACCUACGUACAUGCUACAUUAUUAUAAUUUCUCAUUAAUGGUUCCGCAUUUUUUUACAUCUAUACUUGUUCCCAAAAAAUGAAUACCAAACCCUCGUGAUCCCUGUCAAGGUUUUUAACUUGAUACGGAAAAUGAUUUUUCUGGUUUGGUUUUAUAGGGACCACGUACCCCUCACUGAAAUUGACAGACACUAUAAUAAUAUGUGCAUGUGUUCUAAUGUUUUGUA